CCAUCACGUCUGUUUAUAGCUAAGUUAACAUCAAAUUGGUGUUUUGCACAUGAUCUACUAAAACGAAUUUAAUCGGAAAGGUUCUUAUUCCAAUACAUGUAUAUACAAAAGAUUACUCAAAGUGAAAUUACGUCAAUACUUACCGACGCCAUUGUUUUCUCUGUAAUCACGUGUUUAAAAGGCGCGCGCAAUGCAUACAUUAUGCAAAUAGGUUAACCGAAGAUUUCCGAGAGUUAAAUAUUGGUCAGAAAUGAAAAACUUAUUGUGACCAAUUUCUGUCUUUCGGGAUGAAAUAAAUUACUUAACGCUACAUAAAUCGUUAUAUAACGCCAUUAUAGAUACUCUAACUAUGUUACUUUGGAAAGAAACAAAAAUUGAUUACGAGUACGUAUGUACCUUUAAUUUAUUUUAUUUCAUUACAGUCCGUGAAGCUAAAGAAUUGGCUGUAGGCGCUGCGCACCAUACUUAAAUGUAUGGGAGUGCGGUGCUCACGUACUCCAGUGAGGAGGAACCAGGGGGAUGCGGAGAGCCAUCCCAUGGAGGAGAGACAGGAGUCCCCCGUCCAGACGUUCCGCAGGUCUGGUCAAUCUGGAUACUCGGGGACGAUCCCGUCCCACCAGAUCGGCGCCCUCUCCGCCGAAGGCGGGAUUGAAGAUCACGAAGGCGGAGGUACAUGGGUAUAACACUCGUUUUAAGGUUCGCAAAUAGAUCGAGCGGGGAAUGGCAUGUAACGAUAACUAAUAAAACCGAUAACAAAACGUGAAAUGGAUCUUGAGUAGAUUCGUUAACACGUAGAGUAAAUUUAACACAUGGCGAAACCUCAGGUGAACUACGUUGUAUACAAUGGAAAGGAAUUUGCAACGUCAGGUCGGAUGAUUUGAUAUGACACGUAGGAUGGAUUUCAGUCGUAAAUGUGUUUGUUCGCUGAUAAGGUUGAGUGAUUUGAAGUGACUUUCAUAGUAUAGUCCACAUGAAAGAAUGAUCAUUACGCUUGCAGCAAAAAGUCAUAUACCUUAAUCACGGAUAUGUUCACCCCCUCAUCCAUUAGUAUUCCCCUUUUGAUCACUUGUCCCCAUUGUUUACCCCACCCUUUGAUCUAUUGUUCAUUGAUCCAUCAUUGUAUUGUCUCCUCAGAUCUCAUGUUUACCCCUCACUCUUUGAUAUAUUGUUCACCCCCAUCUGUUCCUGG